AACGAACGCUGGCGGCGUGCCUAACACAUGCAAGUCGAGCGAGAAAGUCCCCGCAAGGGGAUGAGUAAAGCGGCGAACGGGUGAGUAACACGUGGGCAACCUGCCCUUCAGUCAGGAAUAACCCAUCGAAAGGUGGGCUAAUACCGGAUAAUGUCCUUUGGGGGCAUCUUCGAGGGACCAAAGGGGGCGAGCGAAAGCGGCUCCCGCUGAGGGAUGGGCCUGCGGCUGAUUAGCUAGUUGGUGGGGUAGCGGCUCACCUAGGCGACGAUCCCUAGCUGGUCUGAGAGGAUGACCAGCCACACUGGAACUGAGACACGGUCCAGACUCCUACGGGAGGCAGCAGUGGGGAAUUUUGCGCAAUGGGGGAAACCCUGACGCAGCAACGCCGCGUGAGUGAUGAAGGCCCUUGGGUCGUAAAGCUCUGACAGAGGGAAAGAAAUGCAUGGUGGCUAAUAUCCAUUGUGCUUGACGGUACCCUCAAAGGAAGCACCGGCUAACUCCGUGCCAGCAGCCGCGGUAACAC
rnacentral:rRNA from 1 species